GCCCCAGCUCUUCUGGCAGUCAUUCUCGACCCCGCACCAUCACCAGCAAGGUCGCCCACAGUCUACAGGAUAUCAUCGCAGAAUCAUACACGCCAACCGAGGCUACACUGGCAACUUCCAACUCGACCCUUUCAACUUAAAGCCCUCAGUGCCUGUGGUUAUAAACUCCUAUUUCUGUUGGAAUCUACAUCCAGACCUCUUGGUCUGGCUCAUCAGACUCUCAAGCCUAACAAUAUGCCUAACGAUAUGGAGCAGAAAGGUCCUGCUGGGUCUAGGCGUAUGUCCUCACUGUGCUGCAGACACAGAACUACCACUCCUAUGUUCAAGCUGGAAGGCAAGAUUCUUCACCCUCCUCCCAUCCACCUGGCACAGCUCGCCCUUUCCUCAGGAACCAGCCCAAACCCCAACCCCGUGGAUCCUUCUGGCACCAGGAGACCCAUGCUGGUCUCUUCUGAGAACCAGCUCCCCCCACACACCUUAGACUUGUUCUCUGGUUGUUUAGAUUUGUGUGGCUUGCCUCUCCCACUGAUUUUGAACGCCCUUGAAGCCUGAAAUAACUUUUUCCUUUUUAACAGAAAGGUGAGUGUGAAGUCAAGCGGUCCUGAUAUUUGAAUCCUAGCGAUGUGACUCUGGUUAAGCCACCUGGUAAUCUUCCGAGUGUUUCGCGUCUGUAAAACGGUUGGACGUUUGGCAUAGGAUUACAUAUAUGUGGAAAGUGCCCGCUCACGCUAAGUUUUCAAAAAAAAACGAGCUCCAUCUCCUUCUCCCAUCCCUGCAACUUGCCGAUAGCUAACAGCUCUUUGCACAAAGCAGGUUCUUCCUGAACGACGUUGGAGUAGUUUGGACCAUCGUGUGCCAAUUUAAUCUGCAGAAGUCGCUGGAUGUCUCACCACCUAAGAGGCCUCAAAGCUGCGGAUGAGAAUUACCUUGUUCAUCCUUAUACUCCCACUGCAUGUGGUGCUUUGUACGCAGAGGGUGUAAGUUGGCCUGCUGGAUCCAGAAAUGUAACGCUGCUGAAGUUCACGAAAUGGAAUAGCUCACACACUGAACGACCCACAGAAGCGCUAAUGUGCAGACACCUGAGCUGCUCCACCUCAGCCCCCCUGACCCUAGUCCAGGCUGAAAACUCCAGUGCGGCAGUCUCCCAGGGAGAGCAGGUAGGAGGGGCUCCUCCCAGCAGCAGCAGCUGGAGAACUCCAAGCGAGGUUUUGAGGACGCAGUGGCCACCUCAGCCACCGAGGAGAGGACUAACCAGAGGAGAGAAAAGGCCUACGGGAUAACGGACACCACUGGCAGGACACAGAUGCUCAGCCCUCCCUUCACCACGACUCAUGCACCUGAAUUGAGGAACGAGGGCUGGACACGUAUCGGUGUAGUGCAGGCCGCAGAGAGCACCCACAGAAUGGCACGUUCCUGCCCAGAACCCCAAAGAGCCACCACUCUGAAAAUGGGGGACUGGCUGCUCCCCUGGCCAGAACAUGAGCCUGCCCGGCAAGGCUGCUCUCGUAUUUGGGAAACUAUUCCCGUUUUCUAGAAGAAAGCUCUGCCUAUUACACUCAACAUCCUCUGCUGAAGCCAGGAUACAUGCAAGGAAGCAAGAACCAGAGGCAGCUCAGCUGUUUUACUAAGUCAGUGGAAAAGUAACAGUACAGAUUUCAGGUGCAAUAAGGGAGACGGGGCCGACCGGGCCCCAGCACCUGAGACCCCAUCCCCAUGCGAGACAGCUCCAGUCCAGUCCAGCGUCUGAAGCGUGGUCCACAUGUGUGUGCGUAUAAGCACAUGACCUAUCUGGAUGCCC